CCUACGGGUGACAGCAGUGAGGAAUAUUGGUCAAUGGGCUUACGCCUGAACCAGCGACGCCGCGUGAGUGAAGAAGUAUUUCGGUAUGUAAAGCUCUAUCAGCAGGGAAGAAAAUGACGGUACCUGAUUAAGAAGCCCCGGCUAACUACGUGCCAGCAGCCGCGGUAAUACGUAGGGGGCAAGCGUUAUCCGGAUUUACUGGGUGUAAAGGGAGCGUAGACGGCAGCGCAAGUCUGAAGUGAAAUGCCGGGGCUUAACCCCGGAACUGCUUUGGAAACUGUGCAGCUAGAGUGCAGGAGAGGUAAGUGGAAUUCCUAGUGUAGCGGUGAAAUGCGUAGAUAUUAGGAGGAACACCAGUGGCGAAGGCGGCUUACUGGACUGUAACUGACGUUGAGGCUCGAAAGCGUGGGGAGCAAACAGGAUUAGAUACCCUUGUAGUC
rnacentral:rRNA from 1 species